rnacentral:rRNA from 1 species
GAUGAACGCUGGCGGCGUGCCUAAUACAUGCAAGUCGAGCGAACGGACGAGAAGCUUGCUUCUCUGAUGUUAGCGGCGGACGGGUGAGUAACACGUGGAUAACCUACCUAUAAGACUGGGAUAACUUCGGGAAACCGGAGCUAAUACCGGAUAAUAUUUUGAACCGCAUGGUUCAAAAGUGAAAGACGGUCUUGCUGUCACUUAUAGAUGGAUCCGCGCUGCAUUAGCUAGUUGGUAAGGUAACGGCUUACCAAGGCAACGAUGCAUAGCCGACCUGAGAGGGGUAUUCGCCACCACGGAACCGAGACAAGGGCCCGACCCCCAAGGGAGGCCGCCGGAGGGAAUCUUUCGCCAUGGGCGAAAGCCUGACGGAGCAACGCCGCGUGAGUGAUGAAGGUCUUCGGAUCGUAAAACUCUGUUAUUAGGGAAGAACAUAUGUGUAAGUAACUGUGCACAUCUUGACGGUACCUAAUCAGAAAGCCACGGCUAACUACGUG